rnacentral:rRNA from 1 species
UACGGAGGGAGCUAGCGUUGUUCGGAAUUACUGGGCGUAAAGCGCGCGUAGGCGGCUUUGUAAGUCAGAGGUGAAAUCCCGGAGCUCAACUCCGGAACUGCCUUUGAGACUGCAUCGCUUGAAUCCGGGAGAGGUGAGUGGAAUUCCGAGUGUAGAGGUGAAAUUCGUAGAUAUUCGGAAGAACACCAGUGGCGAAAGGCGGCUCACUGGACCGGGUAUUGACGCUGAUGUGCGAAAGCGUGGGGAGCAAACAGG